GGCUGGGUGGCGCAAUGGUAGCGCGCUAGUUUUCGGUACUAGCGGUUGCGGGUUCGAGUCCCGUCUCAGUCA
rfam:Aspergillus terreus NIH2624 scaffold_5 genomic scaffold, whole genome shotgun sequence.